GACAGAGGCCUCGAGCGUUAGGCGGAAUCACUGGGCUUAAAGCGUGCGUAGGCGGUCUUGUUAGUCAGGUGUGAAAGCCCUCAGCCUAACUGAGGAAUUGCGCUUGAUACUGCAUGACUAGAGAAUGAUAGAGGUGGGUGGAACUGAUGGUGGAGCGGUGAAAUGCGUUGAUAUCAUCAGGAACACCAGUGGCGAAGGCGACCCACUGGGUCAUUUCUGACGCUGAGGUACGAAAGCUAGGGUAGCGAACGGG
rnacentral:rRNA from 1 species